GUAAAGGGUGCGUAGGCGGUUUGUUAAGUAUGAGAUUAAAGCCCGAGGCUUAACCUCGGUUCGUUUCAUAAACUGGCAGACUUGAGUAUGGCAGAGGUAAACGGAAUUUCUAGUGUAGCGGUAGAAUGCGUAGAUAUUAGAAGGAACACCAGUGGCGAAGGCGGUUUACUGGGCCACAACUGACGCUGAGGCACGAAAGCGUGGGGAGCAAAUAGGAUUAGAUACCCUAGUAGUCCACGCCGUAAACGAUGAGUACUAAGUGUUGGGGCAACCCAGUGCUGAAGUUAACACAUUAAGUACUCCGCCUGAGUAGUACGGUCGCAAGGCUGAAACCCAAAGGAAUUGACGGGCACCCGCACAAGCAGUGGAGCAUGCUGUUUAAUUCGAAGAUACGCGAAGAACCUUACCAGGGCUUGACAUCCCACUGACCGCUCUAGAAAUAGAGUUUUCCCUUCGGGGACAGUGGUGACAGGUGGUGCAUGGUUGUCGUCAGCUCGUGUCGUGAGAUGUUCGGUUAAGUCCGAUAACGAGCGCAACCCUUCUCUCUAAUUGCUAACAUUCAGUUGAGAACCUUAGAGAUACUGCCGGUGACAAACCGGAGGGAGGUGGGGAUGACGUCAAAUCAUCAUGCCCCUUACGUCCUGGGCUACAGGCGUGCUAUAAUGGCAGAUAUAAUAAGUCGCAAUACCGUGAGGUGGAGCUAAUCUCCAAAGUCUGUCUCAGUUCGGAUUGAAGUCUGCAACUCGACUUCAUGAAGCUAGAAUUGCUAGUAAUCGU
rnacentral:rRNA from 1 species